UACGUAGGGACCAAGCGUUGUUCGGAUUUACUGGGCGUAAAGGGCGCGUAGGCGGUCAGCACAAGUCAGUUGUGAAAUCUCCGGGCUUAACUCGGAAAGGUCAACUGAUACUGUGCGACUAGAGUGCAGAAGGGGCAACUGGAAUUCUCGGUGUAGCGGUGAAAUGCGUAGAUAUCGCUUGGAACGCCAAAGGUGAAAACAGGUUGCUGGGAAUGUGCCGACGCUGAGACACGAAAGCCAGGGGAGCAAACGGGG
rnacentral:rRNA from 1 species